CGCGUUGGCCCAAUUGAUUGAUGGUGCUUGCACCUGAUUGAUUUUGGUCGCCAACGAGUGGCGGACGGGUGAGUAACACGUAGGUAACCUGCCCAGAAGCGGGGGACAACAUUUGGAAACAGAUGCUAAUACCGCAUAACAGCGUUGUUCGCAUGAACAACGCUUAAAAGAUGGCUUCUCGCUAUCACUUCUGGAUGGACCUGCGGUGCAUUAGCUUGUUGGUGGGGUAACGGCCUACCAAGGCGAUGAUGCAUAGCCGAGUUGAGAGACUGAUCGGCCACAAUGGGACUGAGACACGGCCCAUACUCCUACGGGAGGCAGCAGUAGGGAAUCUUCCACAAUGGGCGCAAGCCUGAUGGAGCAACACCGCGUGAGUGAAGAAGGGUUUCGGCUCGUAAAGCUCUGUUGUUAAAGAAGAACACGUAUGAGAGUAACUGUUCAUACGUUGACGGUAUUUAACCAGAAAGUCACGGCUAACUACGUGCCAGCAGCCGCGGUAAUACGUAGGUGGCAAGCGUUAUCCGGAUUUAUUGGGCGUAAAGAGAGUGCAGGCGGUUUUCUAAGUCUGAUGUGAAAGCCUUCGGCUUAACCGGAGAAGUGCAUCGGAAACUGGAUAACUUGAGUGCAGAAGAGGGUAGUGGAACUCCAUGUGUAGCGGUGGAAUGCGUAGAUAUAUGGAAGAACACCAGUGGCGAAGGCGGCUACCUGGUCUGCAACUGACGCUGAGACUCGAAAGCAUGGGUAGCGAACAGGAUUAGAUACCCUGGUAGUCCAUGCCGUAAACGAUGAGUGCUAGGUGUUGGAGGGUUUCCGCCCUUCAGUGCCGGAGCUAACGCAUUAAGCACUCCGCCUGGGGAGUACGACCGCAAGGUUGAAACUCAAAGGAAUUGACGGGGGCCCGCACAAGCGGUGGAGCAUGUGGUUUAAUUCGAAGCUACGCGAAGAACCUUACCAGGUCUUGACAUCUUGCGCCAACCCUAGAGAUAGGGCGUUUCCUUCGGGAACGCAAUGACAGGUGGUGCAUGGUCGUCGUCAGCUCGUGUCGUGAGAUGUUGGGUUAAGUCCCGCAACGAGCGCAACCCUUGUUACUAGUUGCCAGCAUUAAGUUGGGCACUCUAGUGAGACUGCCGGUGACAAACCGGAGGAAGGUGGGGACGACGUCAGAUCAUCAUGCCCCUUAUGACCUGGGCUACACACGUGCUACAAUGGACGGUACAACGAGUCGCGAACUCGCGAGGGCAAGCAAAUCUCUUAAAACCGUUCUCAGUUCGGACUGCAGGCUGCAACUCGCCUGCACGAAGUCGGAAUCGCUAGUAAUCGCGGAUCAGCAUGCCGCGGUGAAUACGUUCCCGGGCCUUGUACACACCGCCCGUCACACCAUGAGAGUUUGUAACACCCAAAGUCGGUGGGGUAACCUUUUAGGAGCCAGCCGCCUAA
rnacentral:rRNA from 1 species